AAAAUGACUCUCGGCAACGGAUAUCUAGGCUCUCGCAUCGGUGAAGAACGUAGCAAACUGCGAUACUUGGUGUGAAUUGCAGAAUCCCGUGAACCAUCGAGUUUUUGAACGCAAGUUGCGCCCAAAGUCGUUAGGCUGAGGGCACGUCUGCCUGGGCGUCACG
rnacentral:rRNA from 1 species